UACCAGCACCCCGAGUGGUCGGGACGAUAUUGGGCCUAAAGCAUCCGUAGCCGGUUUUACAAGUCCUCCGUUAAAUCCACCUGCUUAACAGAUGGGCUGCGGAGGAUACUACAAGGCUAGGAGGCGGAAGAGGCAAGCGGUACUCAGUGGGUAGGGGUAAAAUCCUCUGAUCCAUUGAAGACCACCAGUGGCGAAGGCGGCUUGCCAAUACGCGCUCGACGGUGAGGGAUGAAAGCUGGGGGAGCAAACCGG
rnacentral:rRNA from 1 species